UACGUAGGGUGCAAGCGUUGUCCGGAAUUAUUGGGCGUAAAGAGCUCGUAGGCGGUCUGUCGCGUCUGCUGUGAAAGCUUGGGGCUCAACCCCAAGUCUGCAGUGGAUACGGGCAGACUAGAGUCAGGUAGGGGAGAACGGAAUUCCUGGUGUAGCGGUAAAAUGCGCAGAUAUCAGGAGGAACACCGGUGGCGAAGGCGGUUCUCUGGGCCUGUACUGACGCUGAGGAACGAAAGCGUGGGGAGCGAACAGG
rnacentral:rRNA from 1 species